UGCGUAGGGGGCUAGCGUUGUCCGGAUUUAUUGGGCGUAAAGAGCGUGUAGGCGGCCAGAUAGGUCCGUUGUGAAAACUCGAGGCUCAACCUCGAGACGCCGAUGGAAACCAUUUGGCUAGAGUCCGGAAGAGGAGAGUGGAAUUCCCGGUGUAGCGAUGAAAUGCGCAGAUAUCGGGAAGAACACCCGUGGCUAAGGCGGCUCUCUAGUACGGUACUGACGCUGAGACGCGAAAGCGUGGGGAGCGAACAGG
rnacentral:rRNA from 1 species